CCGUACGCGGGAAAACCUUUUAUUUACUUCUAUUUACACUCGUAGCCUCUACCGAAGCUUCGGCUAUGGCGGCCAUGGCCGAGGACGCAAAGCCCUUACCUCCUUCCUCCGUCCCUCCCCGAAGGCGAGGACGGCAUAUACGGGCUCCUCAUGCCCCUGCAGUGACAGCUCGAGUUCAUCGAGAUCCAGGAGCAACGCUGUCUUCGGUGCACCAGCAAUCGAGAUCUCCUUAAGCCUUCCACCGCCGCUCCUCCGCAUCGUCGACGUCUCCCUCCUCGGCCAAUCCGAGAACCCCGAUGUCAACGAAUCAGAAAAAUGAGGCUGUUCCUACCGAUCACCAUGCCACUUGGUUAUUGCAGGCAAGCGCCAAUAUAAAUCUUGUUGUUCUUCCUUAUUGUUCCUUGGAGACAUUGUCUAGUCUUCUUAAUGGAAGUGGGUCAAGUCAUUUUUCUUUGUCCCAAAGCAUCGACUUCCAAUCCCACUUCAGCUAGUGGAUUGAUAGUCAUGGUCAACGGAAUCCAACCUUUAGGACUGAGACAUGAUCGAUGUCUCAAGCUCAGCUUGUCGGAAAUAUAAGAUUAUUUGUGACAUGAACCGACACUACCGCCAUGUGGAUGCAACCUCCAGCAUGGUCAUGCCAAGAGUGCAAGACUCCCACGCCAUGGCCCGAUCACAAUGACUAUCGACUGAGAACGCACGCGAGCUGCUACGAUGACGAGAGGAAUCAACGAGUCUACUUGUCUUUUCCUUGAGGGAAGAAGGCCUCGGAGGAGAGGAAGGAGCAAGCGAAAGGGGAGGAGAAAGUAAGGGAGAUGGAGAGGGGCACUUCGCCAGGUAGUGGUUGGGCGGUUGUCGAGAACAACGUGCUCUUCUGGCUUCCGCUACAGGUGGCGGCAGAAGCGUGCGUCAGUGGCUGUAGCACUGUAACGUAUCCUUCUUUCCUCUGUCCUUUCCGUUAGAUUUUCGACUUAUCGACGCUGAGAGGACAAGGCGAGGACGCAGCCAUGUGACGAUGAUGUUUGCUUGUCCACAUCCUGUGGUGGAGCUCAUCCUCUUCGUCUUUCGUGAUGAGCAUCCGAUCAAUCCAAUCGAAGGAUGUCGGCAGUCAUUUAUCAAUCUACGUUUCAUGUUCUUUCAAAGCAACACCGAAGUAUUUAAUAACACGGCAUUUGAAUAUUUGAAUCUUUACUUCAUUAUAACGUCAGUAAUUGACUUCAUUCGACAAGAGAAGAAUGAUAUGAGUUACUAUUAGAAUCUGGAUGUACGAAUGGAUGUUUGAAACCUUGAGAAAACAUAGAUGAAGACAAGCAGUAUUCAGCUUAAUUUUAAGCAUUUAAUUUGGUGAAACCAUUGUUAAAAUUGAUUUCAUAGGUCUCGUUCGAUAUGGGGCUUCCCAUCUCCAUCAGGCUUUUGCAGGAAGGGGAGCACAAAGUCAAGCUCAAGGAGGUGGAAGGAGACGUUCUCUCCAAAAUUGGCCAGAAUGAAAGUAGGUCACUGGUGCAGUAAUUUCAUGCUGAAGGAAAGAUGGCAAUUUACAACCGUACCUGCUUCUACCAAAGAUUAAAAGCAUAAUUUCCCGAGACUGGAAAUCAACAGAAAAUAUCAUGACUAUGGUGAAGUAAAUCUAAAAUUGAUGUUGGAAGAGUGCAUUUUUUUUUCAGUCGUGAAAAGUAAUUGAACUGAUGGCUUUAGGCUUGAAUUUAUUUUGAACUGUUGCUGUCUUCAUGAUGUCAUUAGGUUUCAAGUCUCAACUUAUUGGUCUGCUAGUUUCCUAAGUGAGCUCAAGACUGUUUUUGCUGGAGUAAUGGAGGGUAUGUUAAAACCAUCUGAAGAAUGUCCAAUUUCAAAUACUCAGGCAGUACCUCCACAAGUAUUUGAAUCAACCUCUUCAAUAUUAAAGCCUUCAGUGGUGACACCUCUGAAUCGGAUGCUAGAGUUUCCAGCUACAAGCCUUCCUCCUACUAAUCUCUAAAUCGUUGUGUCAUCCUCUUGAAGUUGGACCGGUUGCUGAAUCAAGACUUCUGGGAUCCACAAGCAAUUAGAGCAGUAUAAGCAGCAAAGGAUCAAACCAUAGUUGUCAGUGUCUGGCACUUAAUUUAGCACCAGAUAGAACAGAGAUUGUAAUGUAUUAUUCUCUUAGUAGUCAACUGUAUUGUAAAACUUGUGUUCAGUCAUCAACAAUCUGUUAUGCUAGGGGUUCAGUCUUGGUAUUAUGACCAAGCUGUUCUUUUGCAACAUGAACAAUCAAGGAAGUGAGUUGGGUUGAAGAAAAUGCAGACUCAUGCUGCAAAAAGAUUUGUUCUCUUCAUCUCCAUUUCUCAAGAAAAAUGAAUGAGCAGAAACAGCAAAUGGUAACAACCAAAUGCUGAGUGCUGCUGGCAGAAAGAAGAUGAGACUCUUUUUCCUUCUUCAGCUACAAGUGGGACUUGGCAUGACCUUGCCUACCCUACCAGCCAAAAAGCUGAACCAGAAUUAUGAU